GUUGCUUCAUAUGGUGAACUCUCUCUAAUGAAGUGAGGGGUGUUCUAGUUUCCGAAGCAUAGAUGAAUUUGUAGUAUUAAACAGUUUGAUGUCGAUUUUUUCUAUGGCAUCGUACUACCUGUCUUCUCCUACAUCU